rnacentral:rRNA from 1 species
UACAGAGGGUGCGAGCGUUUGUUCGGAAUUAUUGGGCGUAAAGCGCGUGUAGGCGGCAGUGCAAGUCGGGUGUGAAAGCCCUCAGCUCAACUGAGGAAGUGCGCCCGAAACUGCAUUGCUUGAGUACCGGAGAGGAUGGCGGAAUUCCCGAAGUAGAGGUGAAAUUCGUAGAUAUCGGGAGGAACACCGGUGGCGAAGGCGGCCAUCUGGACGGAUACUGACGCUGAGACGCGAAAGCGUGGGUAGCAAACAGG